rnacentral:rRNA from 1 species
GUGGGGAAUUUUGGACAAUGGGCGCAAGCCUGAUCCAGCAAUGCCGCGUGCAGGAAGAAGGCCUUCGGGUUGUAAACUGCUUUUGUACGGAACGAAAAGGCUCUGGUUAAUACCUGGGGCUCAUGACGGUACCGUAAGAAUAAGCACCGGCUAACUACGUGCCAGCAGCCGCGGUAAUACGUAGGGUGCAAGCGUUAAUCGGAAUUACUGGGCGUAAAGCGUGCGCAGGCGGUUUUGUAAGACAGACGUGAAAUCCCCGGGCUCAACCUGGGAAUGGCGUUUGUGACUGCAAAGCUGGAGUGCGGCAGAGGGGGAUGGAAUUCCGCGUGUAGCAGUGAAAUGCGUAGAUAUGCGGAGGAACACCGAUGGCGAAGGCAAUCCCCUGGGCCUGCACUGACGCUCAUGCACGAAAGCGUGGGGAGCAAACAGGAUUAGAAACCCUUGUAGCC